GAGAGGGGGAUUGAAGUUGCACCUAACAAAAUUAAUUUGCAAUAAAGUUGCUAUGAAUUUGCAACUAACAAAAUGUGCAAUCAUGAAUCAUGUGCUCCACUUGCAGUAGCAGACGAUAACAGUACUACGCUGAUUGCAUUGAAUUAUUAUGUUUUGUGUUCAUAUUCACGUAUCUAAUGAGUCAAGUCAAGUCAAUACCCAAACAAAAAAUACAUUUGCUCCAACAUAGUUCUUCAAUACCUGAAACCCAUCUCUGAGUUUAUUGCUCUUAGCUUAAACAAAAAAUACCUUUGCUCAUUAUCUUCCAUUUUUCAUACUUGAAUUAAUCUCUUACUAUUUCUGUAAUAUUAAUUUUUCUUUCAGUUUUUUGCUAUUUAAUUCCCAUUCCUACUGCAAAAACAAAAAAAAAAAAGCCAAAAACCAAAACUCAAAAAUAGUGAACAAAAGUUAUCUCAUAUAUAUAUUCGCUGCAUUUUUAAUUUCCUAUCAGUCUGUUCAUUUCAAAGAUCGGAGUUUCUUCAACAAGUGAUCAUUUAGUUUUUUUCAUUUCGAAGCCAAUUUGCAUCGGUCUUCACAAUCCAGCAGAUCAUUUAGUUUUUUCAUUUCAAAGCCAAUUUGCAUCGGUCUUCAUAAUCCAGCAGGUAUGAAGAAGACUAAGUGCUACAAGUUCAAGGAAGUGGAUUUGGUUAGUUUGAGAGAGUUGG